AUUGAACGCUGGCGGAAUGCUUUACACAUGCAAGUCGAGCGGCAGCGCGGGGCAACCUGGCGGCGAGCGGCGAACGGGUGAGUAAUACAUCGGAACGUACCCAGUUGUGGGGGAUAGCCCGGCGAAAGCCGGAUUAAUACCGCAUACGACCUGAGGGUGAAAGGGGGGGAUCGCAAGACCUCUCGCAGUUGGAGCGGCCGAUGGCGGAUUAGCUAGUUGGUAGGGUAAAGGCCUACCAAGGCGACGAUCCGUAGCUGGUCUGAGAGGACGACCAGCCACACUGGAACUGAGACACGGUCCAGACUCCUACGGGAGGCAGCAGUGGGGAAUUUUGGACAAUGGGGGCAACCCUGAUCCAGCCAUUCCGCGUGAGUGAAGAAGGCCUUCGGGUUGUAAAGCUCUUUCGGCAGGAACGAAACGGUGGUCCCUAAUACGGAUUGCUAAUGACGGUACCUGAAGAAGAAGCACCGGCUAACUACGUG
rnacentral:rRNA from 1 species